UACAGAGGUCUCAAGCGUUGUUCGGAUUCAUUGGGCGUAAAGGGUGCGUAGGUGGCGCCGGUAAGUCGGGUGUGAAAUCUUCGGAGCUUAACUCCGAAACUGCAUUCGAUACUGCCGUGCUUGAGGACUGGAGAGGAGACUGGAAUUUAUGGUGUAGCGGUGAAAUGCGUAGAGUAUCGUGAAGGAAGACCAGUGGCGAAGGCGGGUCUCUGGACAGUUCCUGACGCUGAGGCACGGAAGGCCAGGGGAGCAAACGGG
rnacentral:rRNA from 1 species